CUACGGGUUGCUCCAGUGAGGAAUAUUGGUCAAUGGGCGCGAGCCUGAACCAGCCAUCCCGCGUGCAGGAUGACGGCCCUAUGGGUUGUAAACUGCUUUUCUAUGCCAAGAAACCUGAUUACGUGUAAUCAGUUGCCGGUAGCAUAGGAAUAAGCAUCGGCUAACUCCGUGCCAGCAGCCGCGGUAAUACGGAGGAUGCAAGCGUUAUCCGGAUUCAUUGGGUUUAAAGGGUGCGCAGGUGGGCUUGGAAGUCAGUGGUGAAAUGCUGCCGCUUAACGGUAGAACUGCCAUUGAUACUGGUGGUCUUGAGUAUGGUUGAGGUAGGCGGAAUGUGUUGUGUAGCGGUGAAAUGCAUAGAUAUGACACAGAACGCCAAUUGCGAAGGCAGCUUACUAAGCCAUUACUGACGCUGAGGCACGAAAGCGUGGGGAGCGAACAGGAUUAGAUACCCCAGUAGUC
rnacentral:rRNA from 1 species